UAAAAGAAAAGGAAAAAGAAAAAAAAGAGGGCCUGCCUCAUUCUCUUCCUCAAACCCUAUCUCUUCGUCCCCAUUCCUCACCCAGAUCCCUAGAUACUUCGAUUUCUAGUCGCCUAAACGUUGGAAUCCAUAUCAUUCUUUUCUUCCCAAGGUCAAAUUUCUCGAUCGAUUGGGUUCUUAAUUCUUUGGAUCGUAUUGUAGUCGGUUAGGCUGUUGUUUUAGGAGAUGUAUUCCAAAAGAUGAGCAGACAGUGAGAUUGGAUUCUGUUGAUGGUCGUCUCCUCCUCAAAGAAGCUGAACGAGUUGAUGGCGAGGGAUGUUGGUUUCAGGACCCUGGCGUUCUCGAUCUGGAUAAGGUAAAGGCUGUAAUUCAUCCCUCUCAGCUUUUGAUGUGGCCUCCGAGUCCCCGACGCAUGCGUAAGCCAUUCUCAAAAUUCAAAGGUGAGAGCCUAAUUCCCCUAACACCAAAACCCCAAUUCGAAUUGGGCACUGAGGAUCCAAACCUCAAUUUCAAUUCUACAAGCUACUCUGCUAGUCUUUUUGGGGCGUGAAAUUGAAGAUUCCAAUGUGUUUCGCUUCAAAUUUAGAGCUCCAGGGAGAAGCCUUUUCUGUAUGAAAUUGUGGCAACUGGGCGUAAUGGUUUGAUUAUCUUGUCUGUGACAGCCGAGCUUGUGGGCUGGGAUGCAACUUUGAGUUUAAAAGGUGAACAAGACAAGCAGCAGAUCACACAGACAUAUCAUAAGACAUGGCCACUCCCACUGCCACUACCACCCAGAUUGUUGAGAAAUUAAUUGAAACUGAAUGUACACCCAAAAUGUGAUUUCUUCUCUGCAACUUUCAGAGACACUUCCAUUCUCCUUCCCUUGUGUCAGCUCCCUCCAGAGUCUAUCUAACUUGACAAAUUUGAGUUUUAGAAGAAUUGGUGCAAUUACUUCUCAUGGAAUGAGUGCCUUAGCUAAUUUAUUUGGCUUGAUCAAGUUGGACUUGGAGAGAUGCCCAGGGAUCCAUGGUGGACUUGUUCAUCUUCAAGGUUAUUGAGGAUAUGUCUCUAUUUUGCUUGUGGGGCUGUUCAAAAGCACAAGUCAUGGAUCAGUGAAUGAAGAAGAAGCUAAUAGGAUUGUUCCUGGGCAACCCAAGGUCUCAUUCCAACUGUUUUUGGGUGUAACUCUUAAUUUCAACAAGAAACUUGGUAGUUUUAGGUAUUUUGAUGCUUGUAAUUUUGCAAAACCUUUGGUUGGUCUUACAAUUGUGAUUGUUGGUUUGUAAUUGAAAUUAGUUCAUAUGCUAUUUUAA